UGGGGAAUAUUGCACAAUGGGCGCAAGCCUGAUGCAGCGACGCCGCGUGGGGAUGACGGCCUUCGGGUUGUAAACUCCUUUCGCUAGGGACGAAGCUUUUUGUGACGGUACCUAGAUAAGAAGCACCGGCUAACUACGUGCCAGCAGCCGCGGUAAUACGUAGGGUGCGAGCGUUGUCCGGAAUUACUGGGCGUAAAGGGCUCGUAGGUGGUUUGUCGCGUCGUCUGUGAAAUUCCGGGGCUUAACUCCGGGCGUGCAGGCGAUACGGGCAUAACUUGAGUACUGUAGGGGUAACUGGAAUUCCUGGUGUAGCGGUGAAAUGCGCAGAUAUCAGGAGGAACACCGAUGGCGAAGGCAGGUUACUGGGCAGUUACUGACGCUGAGGAGCGAAAGCAUGGGUAGCGAACAGG
rnacentral:rRNA from 1 species